rnacentral:rRNA from 1 species
UGAGGAAUAUUGCGCAAUGGGGGCAACCCUGACGCAGUGACGCCGCGUGAGUGAUGAAGGCUUUCGAGUCGUAAAGCUCUGUUAGGUGGAAAGAAACAUUCCGGCGCUAAUAUCGCCGGGACUUGACGGUACCACCAGAGGAAGCACCGGCUAACUCCGUGCCAGCAGCCGCGGUAAUACGGAGGGUGCAAGCGUUGUUCGGAUUUACUGGGCGUAAAGGGCGUGUAGGCGGUUUGCUAAGUCAGAUGUGAAAUCCCUUGGCUUAACCAAGGAACGGCAUUUGAAACUAGCUAACUGGAGUACAGGAGAGGAAAGUGGAAUUCCCAGUGUAGAGGUGAAAUUCAUAGAUAUUGGGAGGAACACCGGUAGCGAAGGCGGCUUUCUGGCCUGAUACUGACGCUGAGACGCGAAAGCGUGGGUAGCAAACAGG